CAGCCCUGACGUCAACUACGAGGAGCUGGCCAGGUGCACUGAUGACUUCAACGGCGCCCAGUGCAAAGCAGUGUGUGUGGAGGCGGGUAUGAUCGCCCUUCGCAGGGGGGCAACUGAGCUCAAUCAUGAGGACUACAUGGAAGGCAUCUUGGAAGUACAAGCUAAGAAGAAGGCCAACCUGCAGUACUACGCCUAAGACUCUUCAGGGAAAGUGUGUGAUACUCUCCUAUUGUAUCCAAAACAUGAACCAAUCUGUAUUAUUUGUGCAGCCAUAAUAGUCCACAGUGUACAACACUAAUUGCCACUUCUCACUCUUUGGUGCUUCGGAAGUUGUUUGGUCUGAGGCUGGGACUGGAGACAUGUUUUGGUACCAAUGGUCCAUGAAAGAAUAAAAAAAGCUUUUUUCAUUAA